GAAUGAAUCUAACAGUGCCAUAGACUCUACACUGAUAUAUCUAGCAUGAGUAAAGAAAGUUAAAGAAGGUAAAUGGGGAGUCAGCCCUUGAGGAUGAACUGAGAAUUCAGCUGUUUUUCAAAAAAAUGACUCAUCAGUGAAGAGCAGUGGCUCCUCUUCCAGAGGACCUGCAUUUGAUGCCAAGCACCCACAUAGCAGGUCACACAGAUCCAUAGCUCCAGAUCCAGGGGAUCUGAGGGCCUUUGCUGGACUUCUAGGACACCAGACACAGAAGUGGCACAGAACCAAUCGUACAUGAAGAAAGCCACAUGGAAGUCUUUGCCAACUCUUGCUCUCCUGAAAUGCUGCUGGAAGGAUGGCAAAUGAGAGCGCUCCCCCGAAACAGAAGCACAGCUGCAAGUGAGGUGUCUGGCCAAGUCCUGCUCCUUUCUCUGGCUGCUUCCUGAAUUCAGCUUCCUUCUUCUGAAUAGCGCUGACAAAUUAGCAUGGGGAGAGCACGUGCUGGACUCUGGGCUUGUGCCUCCAGGGCUUGGAGCCACAGCCUUCAGGAGCCAUGCUGUGUGGGCCAUUAAAC
rnacentral:lncRNA from 1 species